rnacentral:misc_RNA from 1 species
UUAACUAUUAUAUAGUACUCAGACGACAUUAAUAUUCAGAAUUUUGGGUCCUCUGGCGAGCACUCACCAGCAAACAAGCCGGUGGCCGAGGCGGCUCGCCAAAGCAACAAAGGUUAUAAUAACAUAAGGGUUGGAGAUACACCCGUGAGGGCGAUGUUCUCUGUAAUGAUCCCUCCGCAGGUUCACCUACGGAGA